CUUGCUCACGGGCUUUCUAUCAUAUCCAUAACACCUGUGCACUUGUUGGAUGUCUAGAGACGUAAAGUCGACAGUCAUCCACUUACACUAAACAAUAAUGUAACAAAUGUAGUCUUAUUAUAACAAAAUAAAACUUUCAACAACGGAUCUCUUGGCUCUCGCAUCGAUGAAGAACGCAGCGAAAUGCGAUAAGUAAUGUGAAUUGCAGAAUUCAGUGAAUCAUCGAAUCUUUGAACGCACCUUGCGCUCCUUGGUAUUCCGAGGAGCAUGCCUGUUUGAGUGUCAUGAAAACCCUCAACCUUAGAUUGGUUAUUUGACCUUUCUUUGGCUUGGAUUUGGACGUUUGCCGAUGUCAAGUCGGCUCGUCUUAAAAGUAAUAGCUGGAUCUGUCUCGCGACAUGGUUUGACUUGGCGUAAUAAGUAUUUCGCUAAGGACAUCUUCGGAUGGCCCUGUUGCAGGACUAAAGACCGCUUUCUAAUCCAUUGAUCUUCGGAUUAAUAUUCAUAACAUCUGGCCUCAAAUCAGGUAGGACUACCCGCUGAACUUAAGCAUAUCAAUAAGCGGAGGA
rnacentral:rRNA from 1 species